rnacentral:rRNA from 1 species
CAGUAGCCGCGGUAAUACAGAGGGUGCGAGCGUUAAUCGGAUUUACUGGGCGUAAAGCGUGCGUAGGCGGCUUUUUAAGUCGGAUGUGAAAUCCCUGAGCUUAACUUAGGAAUUGCAUUCGAUACUGGGAAGCUAGAGUAUGGGAGAGGAUGGUAGAAUUCCAGGUGUAGCGGUGAAAUGCGUAGAGAUCUGGAGGAAUACCGAUGGCGAAGGCAGCCAUCUGGCCUAAUACUGACGCUGAGGUACGAAAGCAUGGGGAGCAAACAGGAUUAGAUACCCGCGUAGUCCCUGUCUCUUAUAA